rnacentral:misc_RNA from 1 species
GAUGAAGAACGCAGUGAAAUGCGAUAAGUAAUGUGAAUUGCAGAAUUCAGUGAAUCAUCGAAUCUUAGAACGCACAUUGCGCCCAUUAGUAUUCUAGUGGGCAUGCCUGUUCGAGCGUCAUUAAGUCCACUUAAGCCCUGCUUAGUGUUGGGAGACUGCUCCAGCGGUGCUACCCUGUAGCUACCCUGCAGCUCCUCAAAGACAGCGGCGGAGUUGUGGUAUCCUCUGAGCUUAGUAACUUGUUCUAGCUUUCGAGUACACCACUUCCCCUGCCGUAAAACCCUUAAUUUUUAAUGGUUGACCUCGGAUCAGGUAGGAAUACCCGCUGAACUUAAGCAUAUCAAUAAGCGGAGGA